ACGCCAGACUCCUACGGGAGGCAGCAGUGAGGAAUAUUGGUCAAUGGGCGCGAGCCUGAACCAGCCAAGUAGCGUGAAGGAUGACUGCCCUAUGGGUUGUAAACUUCUUUUAUAUGGGAAUAAAACGUUCCACGUGUAGGAUUUUGUAUGUACCAUAUGAAUAAGGAUCGGCUAACUCCGUGCCAGCAGCCGCGGUAAUACGGAGGAUCCGAGCGUUAUCCGGAUUUAUUGGGUUUAAAGGGAGCGUAGGUGGAUUGUUAAGUCAGUUGUGAAAGUUUGCGGCUCAACCGUAAAAUUGCAGUUGAAACUGGCAGUCUUGAGUACAGUAGAGGUGGGCGGAAUUCGUGGUGUAGCGGUGAAAUGCUUAGAUAUCACGAAGAACUCCGAUUGCGAAGGCAGUUCACUGGACUGCAACUGACACUGAGGCUCGAAAGUGUGGGUAUCAAACAGGAUUAGAUACCCCGGUAGA
rnacentral:rRNA from 1 species